CUUAGCAGAGAUGCUUUGGUGCCUUCGGGAACUCUGAGACAGGUGCUGCAUGGCUGUCGUCAGCUCGUGUUGUGAAAUGUUGAGUUAAGUCCCGCAACGAGCGCAACCCUUUAUCCUUUGUUGCCAGCGGUCCGGCCGGGAACUCAAAGGAGACUGCCAGUGAUAAACUGGAGGAAGGUGGGGAUGACGUCAAGUCAUCAUGGCCCUUACGAGUAGGGCUACACACGUGCUACAAUGGCGCAUACAAAGAGAAGCGACCUCGCGAGAGCAAGCGGACCUCAUAAAGUGCGUCGUAGUCCGGAUUGGAGUCUGCAACUCGACUCCAUGAAGUCGGAAUCGCUAGUAAUCGUAGAUCAGAAUGCUACGGUGAAUACGUUCCCGGGCCUUGUACACACCGCCCGUCACACCAUGGGAGUGGGUUGCAAAAGAAGUAGGUAGCUUAACCUUCGGGAGGGCGCUUACCACUUUGUGAUUCAUGACUGGGGUGAAGUCGUAACAAGGUAAGCGUAGCGAG
rnacentral:rRNA from 1 species